rnacentral:rRNA from 1 species
AUUGAACGCUGGCGGCAGGCCUAACACAUGCAAGUCGAACGAGUGGCGGACGGGUGAGUAAUGUCGGGGAAAGUGCCUGAUGGAGGGGGAUAACUACUGGAAACGGUAGCUAAUACCGCAUACCAUCGGAUGUGCACAGAUGGGAUUAGCGAGUAGGAGGGGUAAAGGCUCACCUAGGCGACGAUCCCUAGCUGGUCUGAGAGGAUGACCAGCCACACUGGGACUGAGACACGGUCCAGACUCCUACGGGAGGCAGCAGUGGGGAAUAUUGCACAAUGGGCGCAAGCCUGAUGCAGCCAUGCCGCGUGUAUGAAGAAGGCCUUCGGGUUGUAAAGUACUUUCAGCGGGGAGGCGUUACCGGCAGAAGAAGCACCGGCUAACUCCGUGCCAGCAGCCGCGGUAAUAC